CUCUCUCUCUCUCUCUGAGACAAAAUAAUAAAAGAGAAAAGGGGAUGUGGCUUAUCAGAAACCACAAUCAAUGCUAGGAGAAAGAGUAAGAAAACAGUAGGCAAACCCACACAACACUUACCCAAGAAGAAGGAACUUGAAGAGAAUUUGCAAUCGAUAUGGUAAAUGGGAUCCUAAAAGCAAGUGAUUUUGCAGCUUUGACAAAGAAGCGACGAACAGUUCUCUCACUAUGAAGUAGUUGCACAGGCAAUUGUCAGGAGAUUUCUAGUUAAUAAAACAAUGAAUGAACUUUCCAACCCCUUCGGCAGAGGCAUUAGUAGUGUAUAAAUAGACAACAAAAAUGGACACUUAAGUCUCUUAGUAGAACGAGGGCAUAAGGACUAGGAGAUCAAAACUGGAAGUUAAGGAUUAAGACUGGGUAAGUGUUAACCAACUGAAUUUUGGAACAAAAUUCAAACUGUUACACCUUGUCACUUAACUGAUGGGAAUAUUAACAUUGCAUAAGUCCCAAGAUUGAAAGGAGAUCAAGGAAGACCGUGAGUCGGACUCUUCCAUACACCCAAACUAUAAAAGAGUCCAGUUCACUCUCGGGCUUUAAGAUUCCUAACUUAGAAUGAGGAUCAGUCUUUAAUGUUGCAGUUAUCUUUAUAGUUGCAAAAGAUGUCAUGGUCAUUUGAAUUCAUUUCUAAAAAUCAAAGCCUCAAAUCUAAGAAGAUAUGCUGCACAAAGAACAUCUCCCCAUUCAUGACAUCCAUUCACCAAUUAGGCAUGCAAAUCCAAAAAAUUAAUCUUCUGACUUGCAAUGGAAAAAGAAAAUAUUGUUGCCUGCAGGGCAUUAGAGUCUUCAUUUCCAUUAUGGUAGGAAGCCUCAUCUUUGAAUGUGUGAAAACUUUUCUUCUACACUUAGCCAAAAAAAUACUCUUCUAUUUAUUCUUGUUCCCAUGAAGGGGGGAUGUGCACCUGAAAAGUAUUGGGGAAACAGAAUAGCAUUGGGUUGAGCACAAGGCUCAGGUGAAUAAGUUUUGGAGCACAUUACAUUCAUAGUGGAUUGAUUCCCCUUUCAAUAUUAUGGUCAGGGAACUGAUUUCAGACUAGCAUCAAAAUUCUCCCUUGAGCAAGAUUCUUAGUUAUAUGACUUCCGAAUGGCAGUUAAAUUGUUGGUUAUUUCAUUGGAUUUGAGUAGCAAUAAAAAUUAAUCAACUUCCAUUUGUUAUGAAUCAUUAGAUGUAGAGGACGGUCCUGUUGAGGUCUGUUGAACGUUCAUAUUCAAUUGCUACACUGCGUAAGGGCAGCAAUGCGUGUUUGAUGAUGAACAUGAUUAGUUAAAUUGAUUGUGUUAUCUAUUUUGUCUCCUUUUUUGGUGUUCCCUUACAUGCAUCAUCUUGACACUAAGUAAUAGAUAUGCAUUUGUUGUCUAAGCUCUCGUUCCAAAAAAAUGUCCUCUUAUAAUGUAAGUGCCAUUGUUGUGUAAUCAGCUUGAUGAUGGCCAUAUCUUAUCUGUCAAUUCAUUUCUUUCACUUCACUUUGUUGUAAUGUUCAAAAUUUAUGACAUCAGUUGAUUUCCAAUUUGAUAGGGGAAUUUUAUGUCAAGUAAAAAAACAUCCAUAUUUA